CCCUACGUCACCAAAAUACGACGUCCUCGUCUCGCUGCAGUCUGGAGCGAAGAGUAUUUGGAUUUCCCGGCGACUUUUUGAAUGAAGGAUACCAAGCGACUGUUCAUGACUCCUAUGAGGAUGGAGAUCUGGAGUGUCUCAGAGUGUCUCGCCCUUGAGCCGGAGCAGAGGUAGAGAAGCAGAAGAAAGAAAUUCAUACAGGAUUGGAAAUUUGGAAUGCAAUGAAGAACAACCAGCUAAACAACAAUCAGUCAGGUUUCAGAAGCGGAUGUUCAACAGAGACUGCCUUGCCUGUCCAUCACCAAAGCCCUGUGGCUUGUGAGAACUGCCUCCAUCAUCUCCUCACUCUACUGGAUCUGUCUGCAACACAGUUAGUCACCAGAUCAUCCGUUAUAUGAUAAGUCCCAGUGAUCCCAUUAUAUACUGAGAAAAGGAUGGGGCCCAGCACCAAACCCGGAGGUACCCCUGUCGAUAGGUGAUGUAGACACCACUCCCCUCAAAGAUGGAAAAAAAAAAAUUAUAAAGCAACAACAUUGUACAAUAAAGUGCAAGUUAAAAUUGUAGAUAAUCGUUAUAAUCCAACCACAAUUAGUACAUUCAUUUUGGUAAUACCAAGCUUGAUUGCUACCUAGUGUCGUUAAAAAUACAAGUUUACAAAACUACUAACAAAAGGAGCUACAUUCCAUUAACUUAUUCAUUGCUGGUUAACUACUGUAUGAAGACCAUAAUGAACCAUGGGAUUUUGAAUUACUGUUGCCAGUGGAAGCAGUGUGAGAUAGAGAAACAAAGAAAAGGUAAAGAUGAAUGGUUUGCAGAGUUUUCAGGCUUGCUAAUAUUGGACAGUAAAUGAGCAUACCCUCGCUUCCUAUCAGCCAACUUUAUAAGCUCGCCUCACUUGAGUUGAGUACUCUCUGAAAAGGUAAGGAACGACUAAUGAAGGUCAGCAUUCAUGGUUUCCUUGGAGUGAAUCGUUUGAUGUUUUCAAACUGGAAUGUCUAGUUAGGGCCCUGCAAAUGGAGAAUUUGUCAGGGGCAAAUAUAAGCAUAAAAAGGACUUU
ensembl:lncRNA